AAGGGUAUAGCUCAAGUGGUAGAGCACAUGCCUAGCAUGCAUGAGGUCCUGGUUUCAAUCCCCAGUACCUCCU
rnacentral:tRNA from 1 species